GCGGGGAAGAAAACGGCCGGGCGAAUAGUCCGGUCGGAUGACGGUACCCGCAGAAGAAGCACCGGCUAACUACGUGCCAGCAGCCGCGGUAAUACGUAGGGUGCGAGCGUUAAUCGGAAUUACUGGGCGUAAAGGGUGCGCAGGCGGCCCUGUAAGACCGGUGUGAAAUCCCCGGGCUCAACCUGGGAAUUGCGCUGGUGACUGCAGGGCUAGAGUACGGUAGAGGGGGGUGGAAUUCCUGGUGUAGCAGUGAAAUGCGUAGAGAUCAGGAGGAACACCGAUGGCGAAGGCAGCCCCCUGGGCCUGUACUGACGCUCAUGCACGAAAGCGUGGGGAGCAAACAGGAUUAGAUACCU
rnacentral:rRNA from 1 species